GAUCUACAAAGAAAUAUGCUCUCCAUGGCAUUUAUCCCUGUCAAGCCUGUCAGGUCUUGAACUGUCCUCCAAAAGAGUGUUGUUGUCAUGCCAGAUAAAUGAAGAGUUUGUCUACGGUGUACGGACAUACACAAAACAUAGAGAAGAAAACCCGUGAGCAAGAGGUGGUGGCAGAUGAGACGCUCUCCAGCUCUCGGAGGAAAUAUAUAUGGACGUGUCUACAGAGUUGAUUUACAUUAUCAAAAAAAUAAUAUCUGUAUUAACAAUGAUUAAGUGUCAGAAAAUGGUAAUAUUUUCUGUUCUUUUUACAUCUCCAGUGUCCCACCAACCCUCGCUCCAGCCCCAGCACAGCCAGCUGAGACCAGAAAAGGUCAAAAACCAGAGAGGAAACAGAGGAAGGGUCUCUUCAGCAUUUUUGAGAUAUGAAAAAGAGGAAAUAUGAGGAGAAACCACCGACCCCAUCUGAAAGUAGCAGCACCGUCAAAGAAGAAAUAAAAGAAGAAGACCACAAGCAGGGAUCCAGCUCCUCAUCCCAUCAGAAAGAGGUCUAGAGUUGGUUGAAUAGUGGAGACUGGAAGAGCAUCAGGAUCCCUCUGAUCAAGUAGGAACAACCACAGGGACAAGGUUAAGUAUGUACUAACCCUCUCUUGUCAUCAGUACAGAUUUUAGGGGCAUGGACGUAUAGUUUUUGACCUUCUCGCCUCGUCUCGUCU